rnacentral:rRNA from 1 species
CAGUAGCCGCGGGAAUACGUAGGGUGCAAGCGUUAAUCGGAAUUACUGGGCGUAAAGCGUGCGCAGGCGGUUCGCUAAGACAGAUGUGAAAUCCCCGGGCUUAACCUGGGAACUGCAUUUGUGACUGGCGGGCUAGAGUAUGGCAGAGGGGGGUAGAAUUCCACGUGUAGCAGUGAAAUGCGUAGAGAUGUGGAGGAAUACCGAUGGCGAAGGCAGCCCCCUGGGCCAAUACUGACGCUCAUGCACGAAAGCGUGGGGAGCAAACAGGAUUAGAUACCCCUGUAGUCCCUGUCUCUUAUAA